AUUGAACGCUGGCGGAAUGCUUUACACAUGCAAGUCGAACGGCAGCACGGACUUCGGUCUGGUGGCGAGUGGCGAACGGGUGAGUAAUGUAUCGGAACGUGCCCAGUCGUGGGGGAUAACGUCGUGAAAAUUACGCUAAUACCGCAUACGAACUAUGGAUGAAAGCGGGGGAUCGCAAGACAUCGCGCGAUUGGGGCGGCCGAUUUCAGAUUAGGUAGGUGGUGGGGGAAAGGCCCACCAAGGCAAAGAUAUGUAGAUGGGCUGAGAGGGCGACCAGCCACACUGGGAAUGAGACAAGGUCCAGACCCCUACGGGAGGCAGAAGUGGGGAAUUUUGGACAAUGGGCGAAAGCCUGAUCCAGCCAUUCCGCGUGCAGGAUGAAGGCCCUCGGGUUGUAAACUGCUUUUGUACAGAACGAAAAGGUUUCUACUAAUACUAGGAGCUCAUGACGGUACUGUAAGAAUAAGCACCGGCUAACUACGUGCCAGCCGCCGCAGUAA
rnacentral:rRNA from 1 species